rnacentral:lncRNA from 1 species
AUCAAACCCAAAAGGCGACAAUGACUGCAAAGAUUGCCGGGUCUCACUCUUAUACCGAAAAAUAUUGCAAUUGGGUCUACUAAUCUGCAAAUUUCUUGAAUUUAAAACCGAAGACUUCUCGGGGGUAACAGGAGGCACGACCGACCCGCAAUCGGAUCCGAAUAAAGCUGAACGAAGCAACCGACGACUUCUCGGGGGUAACAGGAGGCACAACCGACCCGCAAUCGGAUCCGAAUAAAGCUGAACGAAGCAGUGAGGUAUAUGCAUUGCUGGAAUCUUCAGAGGAAGAGGAAUGUGGGGGUAAAGGGAGGUCAAAAAGGGCAAAAUUGGACGAAGAUCUACU